rnacentral:rRNA from 1 species
CGCGUAGGCGGGAUGGCAAGUCAGUCGUGAAAUCUCUCGGCUCAACCGAGAAACGUCGGCUGAUACUGCCGUUCUUGAGGGAUGCAGAGGAGACUGGAAUUCCCGGUGUAGCGGUGAAAUGUGUAGAGAUCGGGAGGAACACCGGUGGCGAAGGCGGGUCUCUGGGCAUCUCCUGACGCUGAGGCGCAAAGCGUGGGAGCAAACG